UCCAAGGCUAAAUACUCCUGACUGACCGAUAGUGAACCAGUACCGUGAGGGAAAGGCGAAAAGAACCCCGGCGAGGGGAGUGAAAAAGAACCUGAAACCGUGUACGUACAAGCAGUGGGAGCCUCUUUAUGGGGUGACUGCGUACCUUUUGUAUAAUGGGUCAGCGACUUAUAUUCUGUAGCAAGGUUAACCGAAUAGGGGAGCCGAAGGGAAACCGAGUCUUAACUGGGCGUUAAGUUGCAGGGUAUAGACCCGAAACCCGGUGAUCUAGCCAUGGGCAGGUUGAAGGUUGGGUAACACUAACUGGAGGACCGAACCGACUAAUGUUGAAAAAUUAGCGGAUGACUUGUGGCUGGGGGUGAAAGGCCAAUCAAACCGGGAGAUAGCUGGUUCUCCCCGAAAGCUAUUUAGGUAGCGCCUCGUGAAUUCAUCUCCGGGGGUAGAGCACUGUUUCGGCAAGGGGGUCAUCCCGACUUACCAACCCGAUGCAAACUGCGAAUACCGGAGAAUGUUAUCACGGGAGACACACGGCGGGUGCUAACGUCCGUCGUGAAGAGGGAAACAACCCAGACCGCCAGCUAAGGUCCCAAAGUCAUGGUUAAGUGGGAAACGAUGUGGGAAGGCCCAGACAGCCAGGAUGUUGGCUUAGAAGCAGCCAUCAUUUAAAGAAAGCGUAAUAGCUCACUGGUCGAGUCGGCCUGCGCGGAAGAUGUAACGGGGCUAAACCAUGCACCGAAGCUGCGGCAGCGACGCUUAUGCGUUGUUGGGUAGGGGAGCGUUCUGUAAGCCUGCGAAGGUGUACUGUGAGGUAUGCUGGAGGUAUCAGAAGUGCGAAUGCUGACAUAAGUAACGAUAAAGCGGGUGAAAAGCCCGCUCGCCGGAAGACCAAGGGUUCCUGUCCAACGUUAAUCGGGGCAGGGUGAGUCGACCCCUAAGGCGAGGCCGAAAGGCGUAGUCGAUGGGAAACAGGUUAAUAUUCCUGUACUUGGUGUUACUGCGAAGGGGGGACGGAGAAGGCUAUGUUGGCCGGGCGACGGUUGUCCCGGUUUAAGCGUGUAGGCUGGUUUUCCAGGCAAAUCCGGAAAAUCAAGGCUGAGGCGUGAUGACGAGGCACUACGGUGCUGAAGCAACAAAUGCCCUGCUUCCAGGAAAAGCCUCUAAGCAUCAGGUAACAUCAAAUCGUACCCCAAACCGACACAGGUGGUCAGGUAGAGAAUACCAAGGCGCUUGAGAGAACUCGGGUGAAGGAACUAGGCAAAAUGGUGCCGUAACUUCGGGAGAAGGCACGCUGAUACGUAGGUGAAGUCCCUUGCGGAUGGAGCUGAAAUCAGUCGAAGAUACCAGCUGGCUGCAACUGUUUAUUAAAAACACAGCACUGUGCAAACACGAAAGUGGACGUAUACGGUGUGACGCCUGCCCGGUGCCGGAAGGUUAAUUGAUGGGGUUAGCGGUAACGCGAAGCUCUUGAUCGAAGCCCCGGUAAACGGCGGCCGUAACUAUAACGGUCCUAAGGUAGCGAAAUUCCUUGUCGGGUAAGUUCCGACCUGCACGAAUGGCGUAAUGAUGGCCAGGCUGUCUCCAC
rnacentral:rRNA from 1 species